rnacentral:rRNA from 1 species
UACGUAGGCAGCAAGCGUUGUUCGGAGUUACUGGGCGUAAAGGGUGUGUAGGCGGUUCUUUAAGUUUGGUGUGAAAUCUCCCGGCUCAACUGGGAGGUGCGCCGAAUACUGAGGGACUAGAGUACGGGAGAGGAAAGUGGAAUUCCUGGUGUAGCGGUGAAAUGCGUAGAUAUCAGGAGGAACACCGGUGGCGAAGGCGGCAUCCUGGACCGGCAUUGACGCUGAGGCGCGAAAGCCAGGGGAGCAAACGGG